rnacentral:pre_miRNA from 1 species
AACACCUGGGGAUCUUGUUAAAAUGCAGGUUUUGAGUCAGUAGGUUUGGGGUAGACCAGAGUUCUACAUUUUAACAAGCUCCCAUGUGAUGCUAA